CCUACGGGUGGCAGCAGUGGGGAAUAUUGGACAAUGGGGGGAACCCUGAUCCAGCCAUGCCGCGUGUGUGAAGAAGGCCCUCGGGUUGUAAAGCACUUUCAGUGAGGAAGAACGCCUGGUGGUUAAUACCCAUCAGGAAAGACAUCACUCACAGAAGAAGCACCGGCUAACUCCGUGCCAGCAGCCGCGGGAAUACGGAGGGUGCGAGCGUUAAUCGGAAUUACUGGGCGUAAAGCGCGCGUAGGUGGCUUGAUAAGCCGGUUGUGAAAGCCCCGGGCUCAACCUGGGAACGGCAUCCGGAACUGUCAAGCUAGAGUGCAGGAGAGGAAGGUAGAAUUCCCGGUGUAGCGGUGAAAUGCGUAGAGAUCGGGAGGAAUACCAGUGGCGAAGGCGGCCUUCUGGACUGACACUGACACUGAGGGGCGAAAGCGUGGGUAGCAAACAGGAUUAGAUACCCCAGUAGUC
rnacentral:rRNA from 1 species